GUAUAGUCUAUUCAGAUAUACGGCGUAUCCUUACCCUAGCUAUAAAUUCUGAUAAAACAAAUCCGAACAUAAACACGUGACCCUCAUUUCCACACUCUCCAGCGGCAGCAAUGGCGGGGGCGGCGAUUACUGCUUUCUCCAUUUCCACUUCGAAAUUCCUAAAAUUAGCUACAUUUUCGAGUAACUUAGGGUUCCUUUCUUCUUCACUUAAACCUCUCAGAGCUACUAAAUCACUUUCAUCUACUCGAAAUGGAAAUGGAGCACUUAAUGCUCGUAUGGUUGCUGCUCCUGCUACUAUAAAAGCACCGAUUUCACUCGAUUUUGAAACGUCUGUAUUCAAUAAAGAGAAAGUUACCCUUUCUGGACACGAUGAGUACAUUGUGAAAGGAGGGAGAGAUUUGUUCAAGUUGUUGCCGGAUGCAUUCAAGGGAAUCAAGCAGAUUGGUGUCAUUGGCUGGGGUUCUCAGGGACCAGCUCAAGCCCAGAACUUGAGGGAUUCUCUUGCAGAAGCAAAAUCUGAUAUAGUUGUUAAGAUUGGUUUGAGAAAGGGUUCUCGCUCCUUUGCUGAGGCUCGUGCAGCUGGGUUUACCGAAGAAAAUGGUACCUUAGGAGACAUAUAUGAAACUAUCUCUGGCAGUGAUCUAGUGCUGCUUUUGAUUUCUGAUGCAGCUCAGGCGGACAACUAUGAAGAAGUGUUUUCUCACAUGAAGCCGAAUAGCAUACUAGGUCUUUCGCAUGGAUUCCUUCUCGGCCAUUUGCAGUCAAUGGGCCUUGACUUUCCCAAGAAUAUCAGUGUGAUUGCUGUAUGUCCCAAGGGAAUGGGCCCAUCUGUCAGGAGAUUAUAUGUGCAAGGAAAAGAAAUCAAUGGUGCUGGAAUCAAUGCAAGUUUUGGUGUUCACCAGGAUAUUGAUGGAAGGGCCACAGAUGUUGCUCUUGGGUGGUCAGUUGCCCUUGGUUCCCCCUUUACAUUUGCUACUACCCUUGAACAGGAAUACAGGAGCGAUAUAUUUGGCGAGCGAGGCAUAUUACUUGGCGCUGUCCAUGGCAUUGUUGAGUCGUUGUUCAGAAGGUACACGGAAAAUGGAAUGAGUGAAGAGCUCGCAUACAAGAAUACUGUUGAGUGCAUAACUGGAAACAUUUCUAGGACCAUAUCAACCAAGGGUAUGUUAGCUCUAUACAAUUCAUUAGAUGCGGAUGGCAAGAAGGAGUUCGCGACUGCAUAUACUGCUUCAUAUUACCCUUGCAUGGAGAUCUUGUAUGAGUGCUAUGAAGAUGUUGCAACAGGUAGUGAGAUCAGGAGUGUUGUCUUGGCAGGUCGCCGCUUUUCUGAGAAAGAGGGGUUACCAGCUUUCCCAAUGGGCAAAAUAGACCAGACAAGGAUGUGGAAAGUCGGUGAGCAUGUCCGUGCAACACGCCCAUCCGGUGAUCUGGGUCCUCUGUAUCCUUUCACAGCUGGUGUCUAUGUCGCAUUGAUGAUGGCCCAGAUUGAGGUUCUGAGGAAGAAAGGCCACUCUUACUCAGAGAUCAUAAACGAAAGUGUCAUUGAGUCUGUUGAUUCCCUCAAUCCUUUCAUGCAUGCACGUGGAGUGUCAUUCAUGGUUGACAAUUGCUCUACAACAGCGCGUUUAGGAUCCAGGAAGUGGGCCCCUCGAUUUGAUUACAACCUCACCCAGCAAGCUCUGGUGGCAGUCGACAAUAACCUUCCUAUCGAUAUUGAUCUUAUCACCAAUUUCGUAUGUGAUCCUGUGCACGAAGCUAUUGAAGUUUGUGCCCGAUUGAGACCGACAGUCGACAUUUCAGUUCCUCCAGAUGCCGACUUUGUCCGUCCCGAGCUCAGACAAACUGGCAACUAAAGUUCUUUGUCAGUCACGUCUAUUGUGAUGGUGGUGGUUUUAUGGAAUUGGAAGGAGUAAGGCAUUAGGCCGGAGGUUAUGUUUAGUCUGGUUGAGCAAUUUUUAAAGGUAGAUCAUUUCUGUAUGCUGUGAUUUUUGGAGGAUUAACGGAAUAAAAACACAGAUUGGAGUCUCUUUCUGUGUUGCUUGGACUCUUCAAAAAUGUUGAUACACCCGUGUCGGAUCCUCGAAAAUGCACUACUUUUGGAGUAUCCAACACGAACCCCUCGACAUUAUUGAGGAGUCCGAGAAACAUAGGUCUCUUUAGCCAUGCUAGUUAAUGUUUCCCAAUCAAAGGUUUAACUAAUUGUCUAAAUAGGGUUUGUCGGGGCGAGGAUUGAAUUUGUUCUUGUUCUUUCUUCUUUGUUGUAGCCUUUCUAGAAUCUGGUUUGCCCUUUUUUUGUUAAGAGCUGAUGAUAAUUAUCACCAUUUUAUAGUAAUGCUAGUCUUAGCGCUGGGCAGGCGACUUGCUACAACUUUGUAAGGGAUUAUGACGUGUGUUUGCUUCCACUACAGUGGCAGGGAAAUGGAUCCCAAAAUGCUUUUAGCGUGUUUA